rnacentral:lncRNA from 1 species
AGUAUAGGCAGAUCUCUCCCUCAUAUAACGGAUGUUUCUUGGCGCUUGGAAUAUCAGAUAAAGACCAAUCAACUUCAUAGGAUGUACAGACCUGCAUAUUUGGUGACCUUAAGUGUACAGAACACUGAUUCCCCAUCCUAUCCAGAGAUUAGUUUUAGUUGCAGCAUGGAACAAUUACAGGACUUGGUGGGGAAACUUAAAGAUGCUUCGAAAAGCCUGGAAAGAGCAACUCAGUUGUAACUUGGGGAAGUUAACGAUCCGCCCGAGUGCAGAGGAAAACCAGAAACGCCUUGCCUUCAGCUGAACCACCGUUUGUGCGAGCUGGAUGUCCUUUUCAGUAGAAAAGAAUUUUCCUUUUGAAUUUAUACCAUUCAUCAAUUUUGACACUUUAAAAACGUGUGAAAGGGUUAAGAGGGAAAGAUACUGCCCAAGUAUUUGAAUCGUUUAGUAGUAACUGUCCAUUUAUCCUAUUUUGAUCUUUUUCAAGUCUUCUGAAAGGAAGUAGACAGUAUUACACCCUGAAUAAAUAAGGUGUUGUUUUC